rnacentral:tRNA from 1 species
CACCGUUCCCGGGGAUCGAACCCGGGUCACUCGCGUGACAGGCGGGAAUACUCACCACUAUACCGUU